CCUACGGGCGGCUGCAGUGAGGAAUAUUGGUCAAUGGUCGGGAGACUGAACCAGCCAAGCCGCGUGAGGGAUGAAGGUACAGAGUAUCGUAAACCUCUUUUGUCAGGGAACAAAGGCGGGGACGUGUCCCCGUAUGCGUGUACCUGAAGAAAAAGCAUCGGCUAACUCCGUGCCAGCAGCCGCGGUAAUACGGAGGAUGCGAGCGUUAUCCGGAUUUAUUGGGGUUAAAGGGUGCGCAGGCGGUCUUGUAAGGCAGCGGUCAAAGCCCGGGGCUCAACCCCGGCCUCGCCGUUGAAACUGGAAGUCUCGAGGUGGAGAGAGGUAUGCGGAAUGCGCGGUGUAGCGGUGAAAUGCAUAGAUAUCGCGCAGAACUCCGAUUGCGAAGGCAGCAUGCCGGCUCCACACUGACGCUGAGGCACGAAAGCGUGGGGAUCGAACAGGAUUAGAUACCCUAGUAGUC
rnacentral:rRNA from 1 species